rnacentral:rRNA from 1 species
GACGAACGCUGGCGGCGUGCCUAAUACAUGCAAGUCGAACGAGAGCGACCGGUGCUUGCACUGGUCAAUCUAGUGGCGAACGGGUGAGUAACACGUGGGUAACCUGCCCAUCAGAGGGGGAUAACAUUCGGAAACGGAUGCUAAAACCGCAUAGGUCUUCGAACCGCAUGGUUUGAAGAGGAAAAGAGGCGCAAGCUUCUGCUGAUGGAUGGACCCGCGGUGCAUUAGCUAGUUGGUGAGGUAACGGCUCACCAAGGCCGUGAUGCAUAGCCGACCUGAGAGGGUGAUCGGCCACAUUGGGACUGAGACACGGCCCAAACUCCUACGGGAGGCAGCAGUAGGGAAUCUUCCGCAAUGGACGCAAGUCUGACGGAGCAACGCCGCGUGAGUGAAGAAGGUUUUCGGAUCGUAAAACUCUGUUGUUAGAGAAGAACAAGUGCUAGA